CCCCUAGUAACUGCGAGUGAAGCGGGAAGAGCUCAAAUUUAAAAUCUGGCAGUCUUCUGGCUGUCCGAGUUGUAAUCUGGAGAAGCGUUUUCUGUGUUAGACCGUGUACAAGUCUCCUGGAACGGAGCCUCAUAGAGGGUGAGAAUCCCGUCCAUGACACGGACUACUAAUACUUUGUGAUACGCUCUCGAAGAGUCGAGUUGUUUGGGAAUGCAGCUCAAAAUGGGUGGUAAAUUCCAUCUAAAGCUAAAUACAGGCGAGAGACCGAUAGCGAACAAGUACCGUGAGGGAAAGAUGAAAAGCACUUUGGAAAGAGAGUUAAACAGUACGUGAAAUUGUUGAAAGGGAAACGCUUGAAGUCAGUCGCGUUGUGCAGAACUCAGCCUUGCCUCGGCUUGGUGUACUUUCUGCACAACGGGUCAACAUCAAUUUUGGCCCAUGGAGAAAGGUGGGGGGAAUGUAGCGCUGUUUCGGCAGCGUGUUAUAGCCCUCUAUUGUAUACAUGGGCUGGGAUUGAGGAUCGCAGCACGCCCUUGUGGCCGGGGGUUCGCCCUACGUACCGUGCUUAGGAUGUUGGCAGAAUGGCUUUAAGCGACCCGUCUUGAAACACGGACCAAGGAGUCUAACAUGCUUGCGAGUGUUCGGGUGGAAAACCCUUGUGCGUAAUGAAAGUGAAAGUUGGGAACCUCCGCAAGGGGGUGCACCGACGCCCGGCCCUGACGUUCUCUGACGGUGCUGCGGUAGAGCAAGUAUGCUAGGACCCGAAAGAUGGUGAACUAUGCCUGAAUAGGGCGAAGCCAGAGGAAACUCUGGUGGAGGCUCGUAGCGAUUCUGACGUGCAAAUCGAUCGUCAAAUUUGGG
rnacentral:rRNA from 1 species